rnacentral:rRNA from 1 species
CGGAGCAUUGAGAGCUUGCUUUUAAUGCUUAGUGGCGAACGGGUGAGUAGCGCGUGAGGAACCUGCCUCAAAGAGGGGGACAACAGUUGGAAACGACUGCUAAUACCGCAUAAGCCCACGAGAUCGCAUGGUCUUGAGGGAAAAGGAGCAAUCCGCUUUGAGAUGGCCUCGCGUCCGAUUAGCUAGUUGGUGAGGUAACGGCCCACCAAGGCGACGAUCGGUAGCCGGACUGAGAGGUUGAACGGCCACAUUGGGACUGAGACACGGCCCAGACUCCUACGGGAGGCAGCAGUGGGGAAUAUUGCACAAUGGAGGAAACUCUGAUGCAGCGACGCCGCGUGGAGGAAGAAGGUCUUCGGAUUGUAAACUCCUGUUGUUGAGGACGAUAAUGACGGUACUCAACAAGGAAGUGACGGCUAACUACGUGCCAGCAGCCGCGGUAAAACGUAGGUCACAAGCGUUGUCCGG